rnacentral:rRNA from 1 species
GAUGAACGCUGGCGGCGUGCCUAAUACAUGCAAGUCGAGCGAACAGACGAGGAGCUUGCUCCUCUGACGUUAGCGGCGGACGGGUGAGUAACACGUGGAUAACCUACCUAUAAGACUGGGAUAACUUCGGGACACCGGAGCUAAUACCGGAUAAUAUAUUGAACCGCAUGGUUCAAUAGUUAAAGACGGUUUUGCUGUCACUUAUAGAUGGAUCCGCGCCGCAUUAGCUAGUUGGUAAGGUAACGGCUUACCAAGGCGACGAUGCGUAGCCGACCUGAGAGGGUGAUCGGCCACACUGGAACUGAGACACGGUCCAGACUCCUACGGGAGGCAGCAGUAGGGAAUCUUCCGCAAUGGGCGAAAGCCUGACGGAGCAACGCCGCGUGAGUGAUGAAGGUCUUCGGAUCGUAAAACUCUGUUAUUAGGGAAGAACAAAUGUGUAAGUAACUAUGCACGUCUUGACGGUACCUAAUCAGAAAGCCACGGCUAACUACGUG